rnacentral:rRNA from 1 species
AGCGGCGGACGGGUGAGUAAUGCUUAGGAAAUCUGCCCAGUAGUGGGGGAUAGCCCGGGGAAACCCGGAUUAAUACCGCAUACGUCCUACGGGAGAAAGCAGGGGAUCUUCGGACCUUGCGCUAUUGGAUGAGCCUAAGUCGGAUUAGCUAGUUGGUGGGGUAAAGGCCUACCAAGGCGACGAUCCGUAGCUGGUCUGAGAGGAUGAUCAGCCACAUCGGGACUGAGACACGGCCCGAACUCCUACGGGAGGCAGCAGUGGGGAAUAUUGGACAAUGGGGGCAACCCUGAUCCAGCCAUGCCGCGUGUGUGAAAGAAAGGCUUUCGGGUUGUAAAGCACUUUUCAGUAGGGAGGAAAAACCUUAUGGCUAAAUACCCAUGAGGCUUGGACGUUACCUACCAGAAGAAAGCACCCGGGCUAACUCCGUGCCAGCAGCCGCGGUAAUACGGAGGGUGGCAAGCGUUAAUCGGAAUUACUGGGCGUAAAGCGCGCGUAGGUGGUUUGGUAAGCGAGAUGUGAAAGCCCCGGGGCUUAACCUGGGAACGGCAUUUCGAAACUGUCAGACUAGAGUGUGGUAGAAGGGGUAGUGGAAUUUCCUGUGUAGCGGUGAAAAUGCGUAGAUAUAGGAAGGAAACACCAGUGGCGAAGGCGGCUACCUGGACCAACACUGACACUGAGGUGCGAAAGCGUGGGGAGCAAACAGGAUUAGAUACCCUGGUAGUCCACGCCGUAAACGAUGUCAACUAGCCGUUGGGACUCUUGAAGUCUUAGUGGCGCAGCUAACGCACUAAGUUGACCGCCUGGGGAGUACGGCCGCAAGGUUAAAACUCAAAUGAAUUGACGGGGGCCCGCACAAGCGGUGGAGCAUGUGGUUUAAUUCGACGCAACGCGAAGAACCUUACCUGGCCUUGACAUCCAGAGAACUUUCCAGAGAUGGAUUGGUGCCUUCGGGAACUCUGAGACAGGUGCUGCAUGGCCGUCGUCAGCUCGUGUCGUWMCGUGACGAUGUUGGGUUAAGUCCCGUAACGAGCGCAACCCCUAUCCCCUGGUUGCUAGCAGGUAAUGCUGAGAACUCCAGGGAGACUGCCGGUGACAAACCGGAGGAAGGUGGGGAUGACGUCAGGUCAUCAUGGCCCUUACGGCCAGGGCUACACACGUGCUACAAUGGCGCGUACAGAGGGCUGCCAACUCGCGAGAGUGAGCCAAUCCCUUAAAACGCGUCGUAGUCCGGAUCGGAGUCUGCAACUCGACUCCGUGAAGUCGGAAUCGCUAGUAAUCGCGAAUCAGAAUGUCGCGGUGAAUACGUUCCCGGGCCUUGUACACACCGCCCGUCACACCAUGGGAGUGGAUUGCACCAGAAGUAGUUAGUCUAACCUUCGGGAGGACRAUUACCACGGUGUGGUUCAUGACUGGGGUGAAGUCGUAACAAGGUAACC